CACGUGAGCAACCUACCCUUGACACUGGGAUAACAGUUGGAAACAGCUGCUAAUACCGGAUACGAACUCAGCAGGCAUCUGCCGAGUUGGAAAGCUCCGACGGUCAAGGAUGGGCUCGCGGCCUAUCAGCUUGUUGGUGGGGUAACGGCUCACCAAGGCGACGACGGGUAGCCGGCCUGAGAGGGCGACCGGCCACACUGGGACUGAGAUACGGCCCAGACUCCUACGGGAGGCAGCAGUGGGGAAUAUUGCGCAAUGGGCGAAAGCCUGACGCAGCAACGCCGCGUGCGGGAUGACGGCCUUCGGGUUGUAAACCGCUUUCAGCAGGGACGAAACUGACGGUACCUACAGAAGAAGCACCGGCUAACUACGUG
rnacentral:rRNA from 1 species